rnacentral:rRNA from 1 species
UUAGUCUCGUGUGGGGAACGACCGAACGACGAGGACGCCGCUCGUCGGUAGUAGGUGGAGGGGCGCGACGAGGAGGCUGCUCGCCGCCGGUAGGUGGGCCGGGGAGCAACGAGGCCGCUCGCCACCGGGUAGGUAGGCGCUCCGGCACGCCGUGGGGUAGAACGAUAAGGACGUGGAACUUCCACAAAGUUGCCGCCGCGGCCCCACGAAGUUGGCCGCCGCUCGUGCUCACCAUUGGACGGCUGUCUCUUCGACCUAGAGCUCCCACGCUCUCCACGCAAACGAGUUCGACCAAAGGGACUCCUCGUCGGUACCGCCGUGCCGGCGUACGGCGUUCACCCCUGGCCGCGAGAAGCCGAAUCUCGUUAGUAGUGUUCGCUUCCGAAGAGCUAGAUGAGACCAAGGAGAGUUCGUAUCCAUCUUCGGUUGUAAUUUUUUUCAACCGGCCGUUCUCUACUGGCCUUAUUACCACUCGCGAAGAUGUCCGCGUUACUUGAGGGAAGACCCAUUCGACUGGUGGGAGUACCCCCUUGUCAAGCGGUUCUACUUCUUGGACGCUUUUCUCCACUUCAUGUAGGUACUACUCGAACCGUCAUACUUCCUACGAGAGCGCUCUGAACGUCUACACCUGCUCGGUCUAGGUGUCUGGUUCUCAACCUCUUUGUGUGACGCCCUCAACAGAAUACUGUAGCUCCUGUAGUAACUACUGAAGUAGGUUUUGUAACCCCUCUUUCUGUUCUUUAGACCCAAACAGGCGUUCUGCUAAGCUGCAGAGUUUUGAAGUUCCCGGGCGGUGUCCUAACGACCUGUCUAACUUCUGUAGUUCUUUGAACACGUACUCUGAUCACUAGCGGUGUCUUCUAUACUGGAACUAUUCUAAUAGGGGGUUAGUUCAUUACAACAACGGUAACUGGGUGCUCAAUUUUGUGAGAUACUUUUCCGUCGAUUGGAACAACCGUACCUCCCCGGUUUCUUCCUCGAACGUCUAACCGAUUAACUACUCCUCUUCGUCGAAUUCCACCAUCGUCAACACCCUAAACCUCCAGAUCCGUUUUGUUGUGAACGGUUACUCCAUAUGGUCUCCGAUUUCCCGCUAAAACGGAUAGGACGUAAACACGGCCACAGGGUCUGCGGUUUGUAAGGUUUAGAAGAUGCUUCAAAUGAUAGGGUUGAACCAUGUGUCGGCGGAUAACUACGAACGCUAAGUGUAGAAUAACUGUUUGAUUCUCUUACAGAAGUCUGAUUCUCCAUGAACUAAUAUUAACUACUAGAUACCCUACAUAGUCGGACCCUUAAAUAAUUUACACGAAAGGGUCUUUUACUAGAACGGUCGUCUCAUUAUCACUGAUGUGCUUCAGAUCUUCAACGAUGCCGUACAACGAGGGGAGUGGUACUCAUGUAAAAUGUUUACUUUGGGGAGUCGUUGCUUCUGAGUUCUUUCGAUAAAAAACCGGCCUAUAAACCGAGCCUCCUGUAAACGGGUUUGGUGGAGUCUCUACAAAGUCAACUUUAAGACUUGUUUACACCACCGAACGGAGAACGUUAAUAGUCGUAUCGUCCGGAAGAUCGAUCACUUCCAGGGUUUCUUCUUCUCACCCUUGUACAUGCCUUAAGAAACCCGAGCUACAGACCUUGUUUUGAGUGUGACUUACCCUACUCCGUUUAGAAUUUGGAGUCAAUGUUUCUAGAAGGUAGAGUAGACUUCUGAACGAACAAUAUAGAACGAUACAUAGGCCUCCUGAUGUGGUAUGACUCCAGGCUUGACCUUGCGGUUACCUACCGCCUUCCAAAGUAAUCGUUUCUUUUACCUGUUCUACACCUCUUUUUACGUUCUUUGAUAAAGUUACUCGAACAGUUAUCCUCGGAACAAGUCGGGCAUCUCAAACUACAACCUCCGCGUCACUGUUGUACGUUUCAUGUACUAUACUACGACCUAGAAUAGAACAAAUUUACGUUUCUUCUCUUAAAAGAGUCAUAUCACCUGCCGAGUCUUCGGUAAUGUCUUCCCCUUAUAUUCCAAGCAGCCAACAGAGAAGCAAACUUACUAAGUCUAUUACUUUAUAAUGGUCGUCUAUAAUCAAACAGUGUCCAAGCGAGGCAAUACUAGAAACCUAUGAGACCAUUUUGUGGAGGAGACAGCUUCAAGUUCAAGGAGGCUCAAGAAAAACAGUUCCUGGUGUCAUGUUACCUGGAGUGACCUUACUCACUUGACAUAGUCGAGUCUAUACAUUACUAACCGUCGCAAAUACCAAACGUCGAUGGUUCUGUCUAAUCUCCCGAGGUCGUUAAUCUUUGUGAACUACAUACCUUAAGGUCAUAAGGUAGACUAUAUCAAGUAGACGGUGUGAACAGCGUAGACCCAUAACCUAUACGUACAUUCGACGGACUACCCUAGCCUUUGUACUUUAGGGACUCCAAAGAAUCCCCUAAAGUAAACUUAAAACUUUGUUUGAGUGAUCUAUUGAUGUUCCCGGAACCUCUCGAAUGGUUAUACUCUUUAGACAAAGAGAGGCCGUUGAAGCUUCUAGUCCUGCGACCACAUUCUGCGUACCUACAAGAUACGAGAAGAAACGCUUUUGAAACAUCCGAGCUCAGGGACAUAUAUGUAUGAUACGUUCCUACGUACCUACCAAAAAGAGGAGGGAUGUCGGAAGUCGCUGAUAUGCCGUCUCCAAAACUAACCGUCGUGACAACCAAAAGGUCCCAGGGAUUGACCUGCUACCUCGAAGUAUUGGAGGUACUCAACGUUGAGGUUCAACUGCUCGACGAACUACUACCACAACCAUAAGAACCCCCCAACGGGAGGGAGGAGCUGGAACUAAAUACCCAGGCUUCUAGUGGUUUUGUUUACUAAUAGUAGCUACCUUCUCCUCGUAAGGGACAAGAUUUCGCAAAACUGUACCCGAACUCGUCUCGUAGUAUGGACUAGAAGGUUAGACCCCGUUACGGGUACCAGGUCUCCGACCCCAAUUGAAAGUUGUAGCUACAUGUCUUCGUCUUGCCUCGGCCCGGUCGGCCGUAGCUCGUGAACCGACGUGACCUUCUCCAAAGACGGGCAUAGAGCACGCAGCUCCGAUGCCUUAGAGUUUGCUCGACGCGACUUAGACUAAAGUCCUCAUAACAGCUGUCCGUAGGGCUGUUAGGAGCGUGAGAUCAGUCAAAACGCUUCAUCUUCUAAAAAUACCUGCUGAUUAAAGACGAAACUGAGACGUCGACCUUUACUUCACCUACAGUUAAGGAUAACUAACCCUAUCGAAACACUCCUCCUGUUGCCUACCUCUUCUUAACAAUCUACCUGACGACCUGCGUAGAAGCAAAGAACACGGUGGACUAAGGUAAAUGGGAACCACUUGUAAGUUAAGUAAUAGAGUGGCUCAACGUAAGACAAUGGAGAUACCCUACUUACUACUGGUGCAAGAACAACACGAUAACAUUAUUCCCAAACACGAGCCGUCCUCAAACGUGACAGUAUCUACCAACGAACGGGGAAGGAGGGUCGAAAAGGUCGGAGGCUUGAUAGAACAAGUAAAUAAAAAACCACACGAAUGAGACAUAACUUGACUUGUAAGGAACAAACUUGUAAGUUGAACGACUUUAGUGUUAAAUAAGCUCUACAUAAGAUUAAAAGAGUCAAGAUGACAUUGAAACACUAGUUUACGACAAAGUG